ACUCAGAGUAAUAUCUUCUUCAUUUGUUCUUUCCGCCAUUAACACACUGGUAAAAAGAAACAGAUCGAAAGUAAGACGUUUCACCAAAAACAAAUCUGUGUUUGAUUCAAAUCUGAUAAAUCUUAGCUAGGUAUGUAUUCUGUUAAUUAUGUGGAUCGAUUUGACCUAAAAUUCGAACGAUGAAGAUGAAGAUGAAUAAGAUGGUUCAAAGUUAAUUCUGCUGAUGAUAAAUUUGAAAUUUCGUUGAUUCAUCGACGAGGUCGUCUCAAUUUUUCAGAUUUGGUGGAUGCUCCAGUUGCGAUGAAUCGGGAAUGGGGAAAAAAGCAUACCAGAAACAAGGAUCUUUUCUUCAGCCAAGAGAAGCAAGAAAGUUUGUGUGUAAUGCUGAGAAAGUUCAAAUUUUGGAAAAUUGGUUAUUUUGAGAAGCAGAGAGGUGAGGUACAGGGGCCAGUUGGUGGAAUCAUGACUGAGUGCAAUAGUGAGGCACCUGUAGAGCAUGUUCUUUCUCUAGAGAAUGCAGAAUGUUGCAUCUUUCUUUCCGCCUAUGAUGAUGGUGCCGAGCUACGCGAGCUUCCUUGCCGACACCAUUUUCACUGUGCCUGCAUUACAGUCAUGCUGUAAUUACGGGAAGUGCUAAGAGGCUUGUGAAAGGUGCAUUACAGGAAGCAACAAAGAAGAGAGAAAUGAGAUACUCGGAUGUGAAGAAAAUGGAUUGUAGGAUCUGUCGUUCUUUUUGAGGUCCUUUAUCCUUUGUAAGCUACUUGGAUGUGAAGAAAGCUACCACUUUUCAAGUUUCAUUUCUUCUUUCUUAUUGAGGUUUUUUAUACUUUGUAAAUUAUUUUAAAAAUUUUAUUCAGAGAUAUUUCGGGUGAUUAAUAAAAAUAUGAUUUCAACCAUUUUU